rnacentral:rRNA from 1 species
UACGGAGGGUGUAAGCGUUAUCCGGAAUCACUGGGUUUAAAGGGUGCGUAGGCGGCUUGAUAAGUCAGAGGUGAAAGCCCACGGCUCAACUGUGGAACUGCCUUUGAUACUGUCAGGCUUGAAUUGGGUUGAGGCAGGCGGAAUGUGGCAUGUAGCGGUGAAAUGCUUAGAUAUGCCAUAGAACACCGAUUGCGAAGGCAGCCUGCCAAGCCUUGAUUGACGAUGAGGCACGAAAGAGUGGGGAGCGAACAGG